UACGUAGGCAGCAAGCGUUGUUCGGAGUUACUGGGCGUAAAGCGUGCGUAGGCGGUCCUCUAAGUUUGGUGUGAAAUCUCCCGGCUCAACCGGGAGGGUGCGCCGAAAACUGGAGGGCUCGAGUGUGGGAGAGGUAAGCGGAAUUCCUGGUGUAGCGGUGAAAUGCGUAGAUAUCAGGAAGAACACCCGUGGCUAAGGCGGCUCUCUAGUACGGUACUGACGCUGAGACGCGAAAGCGUGGGGAGCGAACAGG
rnacentral:rRNA from 1 species